UAUUAUAAGCUUAUUUCGAAGAUUAAGCCAUGCAAGUGUAAGAUCGAAACUUUGGUGAAAGCCAAAGAGAUUUAAUCUGUGUACAGCUCCAUAAAUGAUUUAUAAGCGUCUCUGGUUGUAAAAGGGUAUAAGGAUAACGUAACCAAAUGUUACGAUAAUACUUGAGAAAUUAUGGUUAGGAAACUUGGAGUUAUCUUAAUCUAUUCCAAAGCAAUUUGGAUGUUGACCAAUUGGUCGAUUAGACGCGUUCAUCACCCAUCAAUUAGAUAACUGUUUCAAUUACAGUUAUGAUUGUUACGGGUACAGAGAAUUAGAGUUCGAUUCUGGAGAAGGAGCCUGAGAAAUAGCUACUAGUGCCAAGACAUGCAGCAGGCGCGAAAAUUACCCAAUGGAAAUAACCUUUCGAGGUAGUGAAAAGAAAUAAGCAUUUCUUUAUUCCUAAUUAAAGAAAGUACUGGUUUUUAUAUCUGGUUUACAAUGGUUCCGUAUUAGACUUACGGAAGAGUAACAAUUGGAGGGCAAGUCAGGUGCCAGCAGCCGCGGUAAUACCUGCUCCAUUAGUAUAUGAUAAUAUUGUUGCAGUUAAAACGUUCGUAGUCUCUUAGAGAGGUAUCAAGAAGAGGUCGAACUGGCUGGCCGGAAAGAACUUAUUUUAAGUAAUGAGUUUAUUCUGCUUAAUUGGAGUUUCCAUUUGGAGACUCGUUGGUUGGUUCUUUAUAAGAGCAUAAUCUAUAAAAUUUCCCAGGAAGUUUGCGGUUAUGUGAUUGUGGCUUUUUCCAGAUGCUUCGAAUAAAAUUUACUUGUGAGUAAAUUAAAACGAUUCAAGUAUGAUUAGUGGUCGAAUAUCCGAAAGGUGUUUGAUUAUGAUGUAACAUACUUUAGCACAAAACCUGAAAUUCUAGUUAUUUAUAUAACUGGYACAGGUAAUAGAACCAGGAACAGGUACUCAGUAUUCAGGGAUGAGGGGUGAAAUCCGUAUAGUCUCUGAGGACUUCCAARGGCGAAAGCAGAGUGCUAGUACUGGUUCAUAUGAUGAGGAACGAAAGCUAGGGGAGCAAAGAUGAUUAGAUACCGUCGUAGUCCUAGCUGUAAACUAUACAAAUUAGAGAUUGUAUAGAGCGAUUAAUAAUUUAUACAGYAUCCCAGAGAAAUCACAAAUUYUUGUGUUCUUGGGGAAGUAUAUUCGCAAGAACGAAACUUAAAGGAAUUGACGGAAAUUCACCACCAGGAGUGGAUUCUGCGGCUUAAUUCGACUCAACACGUGGAAACUUACCAGAAUAAGACACAAGUAUGAUUGACAAGCUAAUGACUUUUCUUGAUUUUGUGAAUAGUGGUGCAUGGUCGUUUUCAGUUCGUGAAUUGGUUUGUCUACUUAAUUGUGAUAACGAGCGAGACCUCCGUUGUUUGUUAGCAACUCGUUUUUCCUAUUAUUGGAAAUCGUGCUAUGAGGGGUUCUAUGUACUCUCAGCUCUUCUUAACAAGACUAUACUCGUUUUAGAGUGAGGAAGUUGGAGGCUAUAAYAGAUCUGUAAUGCCCUUAUAUAUUCUGGGCGGCACGCGUAAUACAAUGUUUUUGCUAGUAAGAUUUUAAGUAAGUUUUUACUUACCGGAUUGGAAAUUAUUGGGGAAGCUUUGGAAUUAUUUAUUUCAUAGCUAGGAUUGAGGCUUGUAAGUUCCUCAUGAAUUAGGAAUUCCUAGUAAUCGCAAAUCAACAUUUUGCAAUGAUUACGUCCCUGAGUUUUGUACACACCGCCCGUCGCUCCUACCAAUUGAAUGGAAGGAUGAAAAUGCCAGAUAGAGGCAUUAAAUGUCAAAAGAAAGCAUUUAAAUCUUUUGAUUUGUAGGAAGGAGAAGUCGUAACAAGGUAUUC
rnacentral:rRNA from 1 species